AUUGAACGCUGGCGGCAUGCCUUACACAUGCAAGUCGAACGGCAGCACGGGUGCUUGCACCUGGUGGCGAGUGGCGAACGGGUGAGUAAUACAUCGGAACAUGUCCUGUAGUGGGGGAUAGCCCGGCGAAAGCCGGAUUCAUACCGCAUACGAUCUACGGAUGAAAGCGGGGGACCUUCGGGCCUCGCGCUAUAGGGUUGGCCGAUGGCUGAUUAGCUAGUUGGUGGGGUAAAGGCCUACCAAGGCGACGAUCAGUAGCUGGUCUGAGAGGACGACCAGCCACACUGGGACUGAGACACGGCCCAGACUCCUACGGGAGGCAGCAGUGGGGAAUUUUGGACAAUGGGCGAAAGCCUGAUCCAGCAAUGCCGCGUGUGUGAAGAAGGCCUUCGGGUUGUAAAGCACUUUUGUCCGGAAAGAAAUCCUUGGCCCUAAUACGGUCGGGGGAUGACGGUACCGGAAGAAUAAGCACCGGCUAAGUACGUG
rnacentral:rRNA from 1 species